GGGGAUUUAGCUUAGUGGUAUAAGCAUCUGCUUGGCAAGCAUAACGUCGUAAGUUCAAUUCCUG
rnacentral:tRNA from 1 species